GUACUUACUUGCACACAGGGGACCGUGAUCAAGAAGGCGACUCCCUCAGGACGAUAUCCCUCCAUUGAACUCGAUUGGGGCUGAGGCUUGCAAUUUCCCCAUACGUAGGAAACUCGGGUGUACAAUUUAUGAUAGUGGGGGUUUGCUUUCGCGCAGCCCCUG